rnacentral:rRNA from 1 species
CCUACGGGUGGCAGCAGUGAGGAAUAUUGGUCAAUGGGCGUGAGCCUGAACCAGCCAAGUCGCGUGAAGGAAGACUGUACUUUGUGUUGUAAACCUCUUUUGUCGGGGGAUAAAGGCGGCCACGCGUCUCCGGUUGCAUGUACCCGAUGAAUAAGCACCGGCUAAGUCCGUGCCAGCAGCCGCGGUAAUACGGAGGAUGCGGGCGUUAUCCGGAUUUAUUGGGUUUAAAGGGUGCGUAGUCGGGAGUUCAAGUCUGCGGUAAAAUGUCGGGGCUCAACCCUGGCGGGCCGUUGAAACUGGUGAUCUAGAGUGGGAGAGAGGUAUGCGGAAUGCGUGGUGUAGCGGGGAAAUGCAUAGAUAUCACGAAGAACUCCGAUUGCGAAGGCAGCAUACCGGCUCCUUACUGACGCUGAGGCACGAAAGCGUGGGGAUCGAACAGGAUUAGAUACCCUAGUAGUC